CCGUUUCGGUGGUGCCGGAUCGGAACAAUGAGCAUGCGUGAGACGCGCCAACAGCCGCUACUUUAUUUAUUUUUAUGACCUACGACAUUCGUAGGUGCAUACAUUACCGAUAUUGUCUUCGCUCCUGCUCCAUACUUUACUUCAUCGGCUUUGACCGGGUAGCCCUUUCCGGUGGCCAAGAAUACCUCUUGCGUGCCGCGUGCCCGCUCCCAUUGCCUAUCAGGGACUUAACCUUUGGGUUUGGCCACUGCCAAAGCUCUCUUCUCCGCCUUUCAAUUCCGCUUGCCGUAGGUACCUCAUCAGCGGGUGAUUCCGCCGUAGAUAGUCCUCUCGGAAGGUGCAAGGGAUGUGCGUCUGGCUGGAAUUUGGCAGACCCCGGCUGUGCUGCGGGCCAUAGCUAUGCUGUAUCGCUAAGUCUACAAUGUGGCGUCCAGUCCGCUGCAGGGACAUAAUGUCAGCAGCCCCCUCAUUCAUAUGCGCCGAAUCAAACGCUGGGCUUCAGCUUCGACACACUCUUAUGCACCCUACGCUGCCACAAGCUGAGUCCUAUCAGAUUUGUUCACGCCAACGGAAUCCUAUUUAAGCAUUACCGAGGCGUAUUCGAGGCAGACCGAGUGCUACCCCAGCAAGACAGAAUAGUUUCCCAGAAGGACAGAAGCGCAUCCCUUGCAAUCGCCAUCGACAACUAUCUGAAGGACUUUGGCUAUGGCAAACAAGGGAGUGGCUACGCGGACUACCAGACAUUUUUAUGACCUACGACAUUCGUAGGUGCAUACAUUACCGAUAUUGUCUUCGCUCCUGCUCCAUACGUUACUUCAUCGGCUUUGACCGGGUAGCCCUUUCCGGUGGCCAAGAAUACCUCUUGCGUGCCGCGUGCCCGCUCCCAUUGCCUAUCAGGGACUUAACCUUUGGGUUUGGCCACUGCCAAAGCUCUCUUCUCCGCCUUUCAAUUCCGCUUGCCGUAGGUACCUCAUCAGCGGGUGAUUCCGCCGUAGAUAGUCCUCUCGGAAGGUGCAAGGGAUGUGCGUCUGGCUGGAAUUUGGCAGACCCCGGCUGUGCUGCGGGCCAUAGCUAUGCUGUAUCGCUAAGUCUACAAUGUGGCGUCCAGUCCGCUGCAGGGACAUAAUGUCAGCAGCCCCCUCAUUCAUAUGCGCCGAAUCAAACGCUGGGCUUCAGCUUCGACACACAAGUCUUAUGCACCCUACGCUCCGCUGCCACAAGCUGAGUCCUAUCAGAUUUGUUCACGCCAGACGGAAUCCUAUUUAAGCAUUACCGAGGCGUAUUCGAGGCAGACCGAGUGCUACCCCAGCAAGACAGAAUAGUUUCCCAGAAGGACAGAAGCGCAUCCCUUGCAAUCGCCAUCGACAACUAUCUGAAGGACUUUGGCUAUGGCAAACAAGGGAGUGGCUACGCGGACUA
rnacentral:sRNA from 1 species